CUGCGCUUCCUUUAGCUCCACAGGCUUGCUGAAGUUCCUCAGAUGUUGUGGCGGAGAUGAAUUAUAUCUUGUCACUCCCUCUCUGUGACUGUGUAAUGGAUAUCUAAAUCCUGAUCUGUCCAUCACAAAUUUUAUGGAGAAGAAAGAGAUCAAAACAAAACAGAAUGGAGAGUUACCACACCUACAUAUUCAAGAGAGAGAUUCCAUCAACAAGUAGAAAGCACAGAUGAGAGGGAAACACCAAAUAAUUGAAGAUCACUUAUGUCUGUAGUUAAUACAACUUGAUCCAGAACAUCUCUCAUGGGAUUCCUCUAAUAUCCUCCUUUCUCCAAAGCAAAUGAAAAUCCCCUCUCCUAUAUUUUGUUAAUCCCUUGGAGCACUGCUUUUGCUCAUGGCUGGUUAAGAUUCGUUGCUAAGAAACAUGUUAAGGUUCCUGAAUAUGAGUAAAACUAAAUAGUCUAUCAUGUGAUUUUUGAUUUUUCAAUGAACUCUUGUAGAUUAAUAAUUUUGUUUUCCCUCUAGAAAAGCCAUCUGAUCCUUUAUCACUACGUGAAGU
rnacentral:lncRNA from 1 species